rfam:Xenopus tropicalis strain Nigerian scaffold_744_contig_4, whole genome shotgun sequence.
AACAUUGCAGUGGCAGUAUCAUAGCCAAUAAGGUCAAACCGAGGCAUGAUUAUUGCUAAUUGU